CCACAGUGGACCCUCCAGACCCAGAUGC
rnacentral:piRNA from 1 species